AAAGUUGAAAAGUACUCUGAAGAGAGAGUAAACAGUACGUGAAACCGCAUGCAGGUAAACGGGUGGCGUCAAGCUGCAAGCACUGAGGAUUCAGCCGGUUAGGAUGUUGUGUAUGCGCCUGGCGCAUCCAUCAGUCGGAGUAUGAUUAGAUAGUCCACUGGUAAACGGUGGGCCCGGCCGCAAGGUUGGGAUAUGUGUACCGGGUGUGUGCCGGAGCAUGCUAUCUGUCUAUGGACUGCCUAGCCGGUGCACUUUCUCUGUGCUGACACCACGACCGGUGGCAUUGCCAGUCUGCUGUGUCCAAGUCGUAUUCGGUAGGUCCUUGUGGCCAACUGGGUGCGAUCACAGGCAAACUCAGUAUACGGCGUAGGGGGGCUUCGGCACUUCUGCGUGUUAUCGGCUACUGGUUGUCAACGGGCCGCCUAGUGUUCCUUGUAACGGGCACUCGGGUGGUCUGGUGGGGCAUGGUGGUAAGAAUAACUGUGCAAGGCACCGGGGUUAUCGGCCUCAAAUGCACUCCGCGCCCACGUUACAAGUGGCCAUGGCGGUGCGGUAGCUGCCUGCUCGGUGUUGGGUCUGAUUGUCGUGUCGCCUGCGCAAAGUGGGCCCGGCAGUGGCUCGACUCGAGGUGGGUAGUGCACCGUGCUGUCUGUGUGGAGUGUGGUGGGCCUAAUAGUCUGUGGUGUAGUGGUAGACGAGCUACCCGACCCGUCUUGAAACACGGACCAAGGAGUUCAACAUGUAUGCGAGUCAAUGGGCUCUACGAAACCCAAAGGCGCAAUGAAAGUAAAGCUCCGACUCGUCUCGGAGUGAGGUGAGAUCCUGCUGUUACUCGCAUCAGCCUAAUGCCAGCAUCAGGCUAAGAGCAGUGGGCGCAUCACCGGCCCGUCCCAUGAUGUGGUCAUUGGAUGUCUGCGGUCGCAUUUCGGUGUGGCCGUGGUGCCAGUGCGUCAUCGGGGCGGAGCAUGAGCAUACACGUUGAGACCCGAAAGAUGGUGAACUAUGCUUGCGUAGGUUGAAGCCAGAGGAAACUCUGGUGGAGGACCGCAGCGAUUCUGACGUGCAAAUCGAUCGUCAAACGUGAGCAUAGGGGCGAAAGACUAAUCGAACCAUCUAGUAGCUGGUUCCCUCCGAAGU
rnacentral:rRNA from 1 species